GACGAACGCUGGCGGCGUGCUUAACACAUGCAAGUCGAACGGUGAAGCGCCUUCCUUUUUGGUGGGUGUGGAUGAGUGGCGAACGGGUGAGUAACACGUGAGUAACCUGCCCCCUUCUUCUGGAUAACCGCAUGAAAGUGUGGCUAAUACGGGAUAUUCUGGGUCUGUCGCAUGAUGGGUCUGGGAAAGAUAUUGUUUCGGUGGGGGAUGGGCUCGCGGCCUAUCAGCUUGUUGGUGGGGUGAUGGCCUACCAAGGCGGUGACGGGUAGCCGGCCUGAGAGGGGGAGCGGACACAUGGGGAAGGGGCCACGGCCCAGCCUCCUCGGGGGGGAAGGGGUGGGGAAUAUGGCACAAUGGGGGAAAGCCUAAAGCGGGGACGCCGGGUGGGGGAUGGGGGCCUUGGGGGUGGGACCCUUUUUCGCCAGGAAAGCAGGCCUGCCUUGUUGGUGGGGGGGUUGACGGUAGUGGGAUAAGAAACCCCGGCUAACUAGGU
rnacentral:rRNA from 1 species